GACGAACGCUGGCGGCGUGCUUAACACAUGCAAGUCGAACGGUGAAGCGCCUUCCUUUUUGGUGGGUGUGGAUGAGUGGCGAACGGGUGAGUAACACGUGAGUAACCUGCCCCCUUCUUCUGGAUAACCGCAUGAAAGUGUGGCUAAUACGGGAUAUUCUGGGUCUGUCGCAUGAUGGGUCUGGGAAAGAUAUUGUUUCGGUGGGGGAUGGGCUCGCGGCCUAUCAGCUUGUUGGUGGGGUGAUGGCCUACCAAGGCGGUGACGGGUAGCCGGCCUGAGAGGGUGGACGGUCACACUGGGACUGAGACACGGCCCAGACUACUACGGGAGGCAGCAGGGGGGAAUAUUGCACAAUGGGCGCAAGCCUGAUGCAGCGACGCCGCGUGAGGGAUGGAGGCCUUCGGGUUGUGAACAUCUUUCGCCAGUGAAGCAGGCCUGCCUCGUUUGUGGGUGGGUUGACGGUAGCUGGAGAAGAAGCGCCGGCUAACUACGUG
rnacentral:rRNA from 1 species